rnacentral:rRNA from 1 species
AGCGAACGCUGGCGGCAGGCUUAACACAUGCAAGUCGAGCGGGCGUAGCAAUACGUCAGCGGCAGACGGGUGAGUAACGCGUGGGAACGUACCUUUUGGUUCGGAACAACACAGGGAAACUUGUGCUAAUACCGGAUAAGCCCUUACGGGGAAAGAUUUAUCGCCGAAAGAUCGGCCCGCGUCUGAUUAGCUAGUUGGUGAGGUAACGGCUCACCAAGGCGACGAUCAGUAGCUGGUCUGAGAGGAUGAUCAGCCACAUUGGGACUGAGACACGGCCCAAACUCCUACGGGAGGCAGCAGUGGGGAAUAUUGGACAAUGGGGGGCAACCCUGAUCCAGCAAUGCCGCGUGAGUGAUGAAGGCCUUAGGGUUGUAAAGCUCUUUUGCCAGGGAAGAUGAUGACUGUACCUGGAGAAUAAGCCCCCGGCUAACUUCGUGCCAGCAGCCGCGGUAAU